AUUUCAGCAUGAAACUCUAUAAAUUCAAGUCGCAAAUAAGGUUUUUUUGUGUUGAAUGAGUGAAGAACCGUUAUAACACAAGUACGUUUUUAU
rnacentral:lncRNA from 1 species